rnacentral:rRNA from 1 species
AACGAACGCUUGCGGCAUGCCUAACACAUGUAAGUCGAACGAGAUCUUCGGGUCUAGUGGCGCACGGGUGCGUAACGCGUGGGAAUCUGCCCUUUGGUUCGGAAUAACAGUUGGAAACGACUGCUAAUACCGGAUGAUGACGAAAGUCCAAAGAUUUAUCGCCAGAGGAUGAGCCCGCGUAGGAUUAGCUAGUUGGUGUGGUAAAGGCGCACCAAGGCGACGAUCCUUAGCUGGUCUGAGAGGAUGAUCAGCCACACUGGGACUGAGACACGGCCCAGAGUCCUACGGGAGGCAGCAGUGGGUAAUCUUGGACAAUGGGCGAAAGGUUGAGCCAGUAAUGCCGCGUGUGUGAUGACGGCCUUAGGGUUGUAAAGCGCUGUUACCCGGGAUGAUAAUGGCAGUACCGGGAGAAUAAGCGCCGGUUAACUCCGUGCCUGACGCCCCAGUAA